CACUCACCCUGGACUAUGACUGGCACUCUGACAAGGACAGAACCCAUUAAGUUUCGAGCAACACAUUCAAAUUCAGAGGUAUCUUCUUUCUGAGCAUCAGCAAUAUAUAAUGAGUUGUUGGACAACACGUUAACCCGGUCAUCCCAGGAAAUAGAGUGCCCUUGACGGGACCAUGUAAUGGUUGGUUGAGGCUCUCCAGUUGCCUGACAAUUCAAUAUGAUUUUGCCACCAGCAUUAAUAACAGUUUCCACUGGCUCAAGAGUGAUAAUAGGAGGACAACAGUGCCAUAGAUGGCCAGGGAGCCAUUGCCCAGUUGCCGGAUUCUGUGGCUAAUUUCAAUAUCCACUCCCUUUCUGUUCCACUGGAUGGUUGGGGUGGGGUCUCCUUUCACCUCACAAUUCAGGAUUGCAUUCCCACCAAGUGGUUCAAUCCAGUUAGAAGGAUAAUCACCUUUGAAGACUGGAGGUUCUUUCACAUAAACAAAUCCAAUUGCCUUCACAAAGCCAACGCUGUUCUCUGCGGUGCACACAUAAGUACCUGAAUCCUCUUUUGACACUCUUUCAAUAACAAGUUCACUGUGU
rnacentral:lncRNA from 1 species